UACGUAGGGGGCAAGCGUUGUCCGGAGUUACUGGGCGUAAAGCGCACGCAGGCGGUCGAUUAAGUUUGGAGUGACAGUUGGUGGCUUAACUGCCAAAGUGCUUCGAAAACUGAUCGACUUGAGGGCUUCAGAGGGACACGGAAUUCCGGGUGGAGUGGUGAAAUGCGUAGAGAUCCGGAGGAAGACCGGUGGCGAAGGCGGUCUGCUGGGCAGUUUCUGACACUGAUGCGCGACAGCGUGGGGAGCAAACAGG
rnacentral:rRNA from 1 species